GUGAAUCAUCGAAUUUUUGAACGCAAAUUGCACUCUCUUCUGUGAGGAUGCCUGUUUGAGGGUCAGCCUAAAAAAAAUCGACAUAUUUUCUGUUACGCGGUAACAUUCGUCGGAAAUGGGGUCAUCGUAAACGUUUGGUUUUAAUCUUCUUAAAUUUUUCUUUAGGAUUCCAAGAACGUUUUUAGGUUUUUAUUUUCUUAUACGUUUAAGGUAUCGAUCUUUAUUGGACGUGGCUGUUGCAUCGGAUCUCUACUAUAUAUAUCUCGUUAACU
rnacentral:misc_RNA from 1 species